rnacentral:rRNA from 1 species
UUAGAGUGUGAUCCUGGCUCAGGAUGAUCUCUGGUAUGGUGCCUAUUACAUGCAAGUCGAGCGAACUGAUUAGAAGCUUGCUUCUAUGACGUUAGCGGCCCACGGGUGAUGAACCGUGGGCGACCUGCCUGUAAGACUGGGAUAACUUCGGGAAACCGAAGCUAAUACCGGAUAAGAUCUUCUCCUUCAUGGGAAAUGAUUGAAAGAUGGUUUCCGCUAUCACUUACAGAUGGGCCCGCACUGCAUUAUCUAGUUGGUGAGGUAACGGUUCACCACGGCAACCAUGCAUAACCGAGCUGAUAGGGUGAUCGGUCACCCUGGGACUGAUACACGGCCCAGACUCCUACGGGAGGCAGCAGGAGGGAAUCUUCCGCAAUGGACGAUAGUCUGACGGAGCAACGCCGCGUGAGUGAUGAAGGCUUUCCGGUCGUAAAACUCUGUUGUUAGGGAAGAACAAGUACGAGAGUAACUGCUCGUACCUUGACGGGACCUAACCAGAAAGCCACGGCUAACUACGUGCCAACAACCGCGGUAAUACGUAUGUGGCAAGCGUUAUCCGGAAUUAAUGGGCUAAAAGCGCGCGCAGGCGGUUUCUUAAGUCUGAUGUGAAGGCCCACGGGUCGACCGUGGAGGGACAUUGGGAAACUGGGGAACUUGAGUGCACAAGAGAAUAGCGUGAAUUCCACGUGCUUGGGAGAAAUGUCCUACAGAUGUGGAGGAACACCAGUGACGAGGGGCGGCUUUUUGGUCUGAAACUGACGCUGAGGAGCACACAGCGUGGGACAGCAAACAAGAAUUAGAUACCCUGAUACCCCACUCCUUCCACCGAUGAGUGCCUACGCGCUAGUGGGUUUCCGCCCUUUUAGUGCUGCACCUCAACGCAUGAUGCCUCCUCCCGCCUGUGGAGGUCUGACCGCAAGCACUGGAGACUUCUACCGGAAUUU